rnacentral:rRNA from 1 species
GCAGUCGAGCGGCAGCACGGGUACUUGUACCUGGUGGCGAGCGGCGGACGGGUGAGUAAUGCCUAGGAAUCUGCCUGGUAGUGGGGGAUAACGCUCGGAAACGGACGCUAAUACCGCAUACGUCCUACGGGAGAAAGCAGGGGACCUUCGGGCCUUGCGCUAUCAGAUGAGCCUAGGUCGGAUUAGCUAGUUGGUGAGGUAACGGCUCACCAAGGCGACGAUCCGUAACUGGUCUGAGAGGAUGAUCAGUCACACUGGAACUGAGACACGGUCCAGACUCCUACGGGAGGCAGCAGUGGGGAAUAUUGGACAAUGGGCGAAAGCCUGAUCCAGCCAUGCCGCGUGUGUGAAGAAGGUCUUCGGAUUGUAAAGCACUUUAAGUUGGGAGGAAGGGCAUUAACCUAAUACGUUAGUGUUUUGACGUUACCGACAGAAUAAGCACCGGCUAACUCUGUGCCAGCAGCCGCGGUAAUACAGAGGGUGCAAGCGUUAAUCGGAAUUACUGGGCGUAAAGCGCGCGUAGGUGGUUCGUUAAGUUGGAUGUGAAAUCCCCGGGCUCAACCUGGGAACUGCAUUCAAAACUGUCGAGCUAGAGUAUG